UGAGGAAUAUUGGUCAAUGGGCGAGAGCCUGAACCAGCCAAGUAGCGUGCAGGAUGACGGCCCUAUGGGUUGUAAACUUCUUUAGUGUGGGAACAAAGCGUGGUUGCGACCACAGAUGAGUGUACCACAAGAAUAAGCAUCGGCUAACUCCGUGCCAGCAGCCGCGGUAAUACGGAGGAUGCGAGCGUUAUCCGGAUUUAUUGGGUUUAAAGGUGCGUAGGCGGACUUUCAAGUCAGCGGUAAAAUUUCCGGGCUUAACCUGGUUGUGCCGUUGAAACUGAGAGACUGGAGUGCGCUUGAGGUAGGCGGAAUGCGUUGUGUAGCGGUGAAAUG
rnacentral:rRNA from 1 species